UGUGUCCGGAGAUUUCAUUCCCUUUAGACCUCUUUCAUCUCUUCAUUCAAAUCCUAAUGCCGAGAUUGACCCUGUAGGCUAUUAGUUGCCUUCAGCUACCAUUCUUCCUGUUUUAAAAGCAAGGCCGAUAGGAACAUUUGAAAAAAGGACUCUUCAGACCUGGAAAAUUUUGUCAUGAGAAGGUAACAGCAACCUUCCCUCCAGUUAAAAUAGAGGAAACUGGCUGGAGAGAGCUCAGAUACAGGGCUGAAAACAAAGACAUCCAAACCUUGAGCCAUUUAGGAGAGGAAGAAGCCAAAAUCUAUGCCAGAGGUUUGACUGCUGGGUUUACUCAUGGCUUCAGGUCAGUUUCGCGGGGCUUGGUCUGUUGGGAGGAUUUUCUGAGAAGCAUCUGAAGAGCUGAUAGCUGGAUAGCUUCACCACUGACCCCCCCGACCCGAGUGAGGUUUGGCACUCACAGUAUUCCUGGAAUGACACAGGGGCUCCGGCUGGAGUCAGGCCAGGACAUUAGAUGAAACUGCUUUUGUGGCACUUCUGCUUUUGAUGACUAGAGGACAGAUUUCCCGCUGUAACUCUCUGCAGCAUUUGACUCUAUUGACCAUGAACCCCUGCUGGCCCCUGCUGAGAAGGUGGGUUGCAGUCUGGUGGGAAUGAUUUGGUGGGACAUACCCAGUCAGUAGAGAUGUAAACAUACAGCCAUACAGCUAAUGUAGGUU
rnacentral:lncRNA from 1 species